GACGAACGCUGGCGGCGUGCUUAACACAUGCAAGUCGAACGAAGUGGCGAACGGGAGAGUAACGCGGAAACAACCUGCCCUUCAGAGGGGGACAACAGGUGGAAACGACUGCUAAUACGGCAUACUGAAGGAGGGGAUGGCGUCUGAUUAGCUAGGUGGAGGGGUAACGGCCGACCAAGGCGAUGAUCAGUAGCCGUUCUUAGAGGAGUAACGGUCACAUGUGGACUGGUGAACGGCCCAGAAGCCUACUGGAGGGCGCAGUUGGGAAUCUUUCGCAAUGGACGAAAGUCUGACGGAGCAACGCCGCGUGAGUGAAGACGGCCUUCGGGUUGUAAAGCUCUGUUAAUCGGGACGCGGUACCGGAAUAGAAAGCCACGGCUAACUACGUGCCAGCAGCCGCGGUAAUUC
rnacentral:rRNA from 1 species